GUAGGUAUGGAACCCCUCACCCAGGCCUCCUCCACCCCAGCCCUGCUCCCUCCUGAGAAGCCAGGGGUGCACCUCACAUCUGUAUUUUUGUGCCUGGCGUAAAGCAGGAAAGGAAUGAGGAUUUCACUGAGAACCUACUGCGUGCUGGCCACUGUUAUGAAGGUCAUCACAGGGAAUGUUCACAACAAACCAUGACAUGGUAUUGUCUCAUUUUUACAGGUAAGGAAACUGAAGCCUCAGGCGAAGAGAUGAUUUCAAAGAACUUCAGAGCUAAGAGUCUUCUUCGACUAAAGAACUUGAAGGGCCAGUUCCAGAGACCCUGUGACCUCAGGCUCCAGAGAUGGCUCCGUAAGGCAAACUCACCAUGACCACUGGUCAAUGACUCACUUCUCCUCCCAGGCGCCCUCCCAGGGAUGAGCGCUCCUUCACUCUGCCUCCCUCAGCCCUUGCUCCGGUCUCUCUGCAGCUGGGGUCAGUGUUCCCAGUGAAGUCAGCGUGUGGAGCACACAUGCCUCGUACCCACAUUCAUGCCCAUGUGUGCGUGUGCACACGCAUGUGGGGCCUGUGUGUCUCUUUCUCUGAGACCCACUCAAGAUCUGCAUGCACCUCGGGCCCCCUCCCAGAGUGCUGCAGCCAGAUGCACCUGGAGCCCCACCCGUCAGCCCAGGGAGACAUGCCCCUGCUGAAUUCAGAGAAUGAUCCAGAAGGAUUCAGGAAAUGAGGACCAUUCAUGAACCCAGCGACUGAUGAAGAGCACCUUCCUCACAUCCGCUGCCAAACUCACCCGAAAAGAAGAGACAGAGGAAGACCCCAGAGGAUUGCAAUUUGAGGACACCUCCAACUCAUGCUCACUGCACUUGGUCCAAAAUGAUCAGAGGGGAGAUUUGGCUCAUGCUCUGGCCUCACUGGCUCCCAUCACCAUUGCCUCUGCCCCUCCAGCCUCUGCCAGGCGCCUGGCUCUGACCCUUGCUGACACUUCAGGCCCCUCACCCUUAGAACUGACUGCCAAAGGGCUAGUUGCUUAGUCUUCAAGUAAAGGGGGUCUGGAGGACUAUGGAGGAGGCAUAGUGCCUAGAGAGCCCCUCGCCUCAAGACACCCCCACUGCACUUGGGAGGAAAGGCAGGGCUGGGGGAUGGAGGCACUGUGGGGGCCUUUCCUAUUUGGCAGCAGCUGCAGCCAUGCGCACCAUAGCCACAGCACGCAGCACACAUCUUCUGUCUCACAGUGAUUGAAGAUUUUGCCAAACCACCGGUCAGACAGAUUUCCCCCCAAGCCCCACAUUAAUUGAUUUUUGGAUUCUGCAACCCAAGCUCAAGCUCAAGCUCCGAGCUCACUGCUGAGCUCAGACUCCUGGGUGUCCCACAACGGCUUCGAUGUGGAGGCCAUGACGCUGAAGCCAAAGUUGUCAGACACCUGGGCUGCACUUGCCUGUGCAACGAGCCUGGGAAAGCAGCUCUGGGGAUUGCACCCACAGUGCCAGGGCUCGGGAGCCUCUGAGCUCAGGGAGGCCUUCAGGGACAGGCGCUCGGCCAGCUGCCUGGGUAGGCUACUAAUGAGCAGAUGUGUUCCAGGCUGUCUGCCCAAGGGGCAGCUGCACCUGGGCUGGAGAGCUGAGACUCUCUGGGGUUCUGCAGCCUCUGUCCUCCUCAGCCUGGCCCGACAGCCCCUCGUUCUGAUACAGGAGGGCACAGCUGCCUGACGCCCCUCCUUCCCCAUCUCUGCCUCUCUAAUCUUCCUUGAGGAAGAUUCCAUCAGAGGUUUUACUUACAUAUUCCUACACCAUGCCUGGAACAUAGUAGGUACUCAAUAAAUCCAACUUUUCCUGAGUUAGUGGUGAGGAAAAGCUGGACUCAGGAUCAGGCUGCCUGUGAAGCCUGGCCUGUAGCCUGCCAGCUCUCCCAGCCUCAGGGUCCUCACACCCACACGUGUGUGCAGUAACAGAGCACUUCUUGCCUGCAACAGUGCCUGGUUCCCAGUGUAUGCCACUGGGAUCCGUAUUAUUAUUAAGUGAUCCGUAUUAUUAUUUUAUCUUAAGAGAGGAAUCCAGCUGUGUCCAAAUGAGGGGUUGGGACAAAAUAAAAGCUAGAAUCCAGUCUUGCAGGUGGGGACAUGGCACCUGGGUCUCCACACUGACCCGUGCUGCCCACCCUCUCACAUGCUAUCUAGAGACGGCACUCCUUGUGGAAUGCUGCAGGAGGUGCUCCACUGGCACGAAGUGGGUGGGCUCUUAGCACAGACCCAAACAGUAAGUGACUUUUCACACUCCCAUCGCAUCUCCAAAGCUACAUGCAAAACACUGAUCUUCACAGGGGUUAGAACACAACUUCCAGAAGGCCUCUUUCUUUUUUUUUUUUUUCUCCCUUUUUUUUUUUUAUUAUUAUACUUUAAGUUCUGAGAUACAUGUGCAGAACAUGCAGGUUUGUUACAUAGGUAUACAAGAGCCAUGGUGGUUUGCUGCACCCAUCAACCCGUCAUCUACAUUACGUAUUUCUCCUAAUGCUAUCCCUCCCCUAACCCCCAACCCCCUGGCAGGCCCCAGUGUGUGAUGUUCCCCUCCCUGUGUUCAUGUGCUCUCACUGUUCAACUCCCACUUAUGAGGGAGAACAAGCAGUGUUUGGUUUUCUGUUCCUGUGUUAGUUUGCUGAGAAUGAUGGUUUCCAGCUUCAUCCAUGUCCCUGCAAAGGACAUGAAGUCAUCCUUUUUGAUGGCUGUAUAGUAUUCCAUGGUGUAUAUGUGCCAUGUUUUCUUUAUCCAGUCUAUCAUUGAUGGGCAUUUGGGUUGGUUCCAAGUCUUUGUUAUUGUGAACAGUGCUGCAAUAAACAUACGUGUGCAUGCGUCUUUAUAGUAGAAUAAUUGAUAAUCCUUUUGUUAUAUACCCAGUAAUGGCAUUGUUGGGUCAAAUGGUAUUUCUUGUUCUAGAUCCUUGAGGAAUCGCCACACUGUCUUUCACAAUGGUUGAACUGGUUUACACUCCCACCAACAGUGUAAAAGCAUGCCUAUUUUUCCACAUCCUCUCCAGCAUCUGUUGUUGCCUGACUUUUUAAUGAUCACCAUUCUAACUAGCAUGAGAUGGUAUCUCAUUAUGGUUUUGAUUUGCAUUUCUCUAAUGACCAUUUCUCUAAUGAUGAGCUUUUUUUCAUAUGUUUGUUGGCUGCAAAAAUGUCUUCUUUUGAGAAGUGUCCAUUCAUAUCUUUUGCCCAUUUUUUGAGUGGGGUUGCUUUUUUCUUAUAAACUUGUUAAAGUUCCUUAUAGAUUCUGGAUAUUAGCCCUUUGUCAGAUGGAUAGAUUGCAAAAAUUUUCUCCCAUUCUGUAGGUUGUCUGUUCACUCUGAUGAUAGUUUCUUUUGCUGUGCAGAAGCUCUUUAGUUUAAUUAGAU
rnacentral:lncRNA from 1 species